GAUGAACGCUGGCGGCGUGCCUAAUACAUGCAAGUCGAGCGAACAGAUGAGGAGCUUGCUCCUCUGACGUUGGCGGCGGACGGGUGAGUAACACGUGUAUAACCUACCUAUAAGACUGGGAUAACUUCGGGAAACCGGACCUAAUACCGGAUAAUAUAUUGAACCGCAUGGUUCAAUAGUUCAAGACGGUUUUUCUUUCUCUUAUAGAUGAAUCCGCGCCGCAUUAGCUAGUUGGUAAGGUAACGGCUUAACAAGGCAACGAUGCGUAUCCGACGUGAGAGGGUGAUCGGCCACACUGGAACUGAGACACGGUCGAGACUCCUACGGGAGGCCGCAGUAGGGAAUCUUCCGCAAUGGGCGAAAGCCUGACGGAGCAACACCGCGUGAGUGAUGAAGGUGCUAGGAUCGUAAAACUCUGUUAUUAGGGACGAACAAAUGUGUAAGUAACUAUGCACGUCUUGACGGUACCUAAACAGAAAGCCACGGCUAACUACGUG
rnacentral:rRNA from 1 species